rnacentral:rRNA from 1 species
CCUACGGGGGGCUGCAGUGGGGGAUAUUGCACAAUGGGGGGAACCCUGAUGCAGCGACGCCGCGUGGGUGAAGGAGCGUUUCGGCGCGUAAAGCCCUAUCGGCAGGGAAGAAAAUGACGGUACCUGACUAAGAAGCCCCGGCUAACUACGGGCCAGCAGCCGCGGUAAUACGUAGGGGGCAAGCGUUAUCCGGAUUUACUGGGUGGAAAGGGAGCGCAGACGGCUGUGCAAGUCUGGAGUGAAAGGCGGGGGCCCAACCCCCGGACUGCUCUGGAAACUGUAAAGCUGGAGUGCAGGAGAGGUAAGCGGAAUUCCUAGUGUAGCGGUGAAAUGCGUAGAUAUUAGGAGGAACACCAGUGGCGAAGGCGGCUUACUGGACUGCAACUGACGUUGAGGCUCGAAAGCGUGGGGAGCAAACAGGAUUAGAUACCCUAGUAGUC